rnacentral:lncRNA from 1 species
AGCCUGUGCGACAGAGUGAAACGCUGCCAAAAAGAAAAAAAUUAUGUGGGGUACCAUUACACACCUAUAGUGGGGCAGGGCUAAAAUCCUAAACACAAAAACAAAAGAAGCGGUAAUAUCCAGUGCUGGCAGGGAUCCAAAGAAACUGCAGCUUUCACACUGCUGGUGGGAAUGCAAAAUUUGUAUAGUCAGUUUGCAAGAGUUUGGCUAUUUCUCAUAAAUAUGCCCUUACCAUACAACCCAGCAAUCCCACUUGUAGGUAUUUUCCCACAGUGAAAUGAUACUUCUGUUCACACAAAAACCUGUACACAAAUGUUUAUAGUGACUUUAUAAUUGUCCAACAACUGGAAACAAUUCAAAUGUGUUUCAACUGGUAAAUGUAUAAACUGUAUAAACUGUGGUACAGCCAUAUAAAAAGGAAUGAACUAUUGGUAAUGUGUGCAACAACUUCAAGGGACCUUGAGGGUGUUAUUCUUGGUGGAAAAAUUCAAUAUAAAAAUGUUAGAUACAGACCAAGGCAGGCGUGAGCUUACACAUUUUCAUAUGUACACACUCGAAUAUAAAUACAAUUGAAUGAGGUCAGUGUACACAUUGACACUAACUACACAACAACACAAACUAACAACAGUAGGUACCUGAGGAAGGGUGAGUGUGGUCAAGGGGGGAGCUUCAGCUUUUCAUUGUAUUGCGCGAUUUUUUUUACAGUGGGAAUGUGUAACCAUGCCUGUGACAUUUCUUUUAAAAAGUGGGUGAUGCUGAAGACUGUGUCCAAGGAUCCCAGAACUAAUUUGGGGCCACACCUCACACACUGCACAUCCCAGGCCUUGACCACGAGGCUGCACAGCCUUUCAAAGGGAGACCCGUGCCUGCCUCAUUUUUUUUUUUUUUUUUGAGACGGAGUCUUGCAGUGUUGCCCAGGCUGGAGUGCAGUGGCGCGAUAUAGGCUCACUGAAAGCUCCACCUCCUGGGUUCAC